UAACGUAACAAAUUGUGGAAAAAGGGAAGGGGUCUGAAUACUUUCUGAAUGUACUGUGACUGAUUUAAUUAAACAGUUGAAAGGGAAAGGGGAUACUUAGUCGGUUGUCCAACUGAAUGUAUUCAACUCUAAUGUGCCUUCUGCAUUUAACCCAACCACUCUGAAUGAGAUGAUGUGAAUGUGUUCUGAGCUGUGAGGUCUCUGUGGUUGUAGCGCAUGUGGGUCCCAGUAGUUCCAUUCAGUUUUAAGUUGUAGCAUGUGGGUCCCAGUAGUUCCAUUCAGUUUUAAGUUGUAGCAUGUGGGUCCCAGUAGUUCCAUUCAGUUUUAAGUUGUAGCAUGUGGGUCCCAGUAGUUCCAUUCAGUUUUAAGUUGUAGCAUGUGGGUCCCAGUAGUUCCAUUCAGUUUUAAGUUGUAGCAUGUAGGUCCCAGUAGUUCCAUUCAGUUUUAAGUUGUAGCAUGUAGGUCCCAGUAGUUCCAUUCAGUUUUAAGUUGUAGCAUGUGGGUCCCAGUAGUUCCAUUCAGUUUUAAGUUGUAGCAUGUGGGUCCCAGUAGUUCUAUUCAGUUUUAAGUUGUAGCAAGUGGGUCCCAGGAGUUCUAUUCAGUUUUAAGUUGUAUUG